CGGGGUACAGCUCAGUUGGGAGAGUGCUUGCCUUACAUGCAUAAGCCCUGGGUUCAAUCCCCAGCACCACAC
rfam:Ictidomys tridecemlineatus contig149012, whole genome shotgun sequence.